rnacentral:rRNA from 1 species
AUUGAACGCUGGCGGCAGGCCUAACACAUGCAAGUCGAGCGGAGCGGAGGACGGGUGAGUAAUGCCUAGGACUCUGCCUGGUAGUGGGGGAUAACGUCCGAAAACGGGCGCUAAUACCGCAUACUAUCAGAUGAGCCUAGGUCGGAUUAACUAGUUGGUGGGGUAAAGGCCUACCAAGGCGACGAUCCGUAACUGGUCUGAGAGGAUGAUCAGGAACACUGGAACUGAGAAACGGUCCAUACUCCUACGGGAGGCAGCAGUGGGGAAUAUUGGACAAUGGGCGAAAGCCUGAUCCAGCCAUGCCGCGUGUGUGAAGAAGGUCUUCGGAUUGGAAAGCACUUUAAGUUGGGAGGCGUUACCAACAGAAUAAGCACCGGCUAACUUCGUGCCAGCCGCCGCGGUAAUAC